UGGGGAAUUUUGGACAAUGGGCGCAAGCCUGAUCCAGCCAUGCCGCGUGCGGGAAGAGGGCCUUCGGGUUGUAAACCGCUUUUGUCAGGGAAGAAAUCUUCUGAGUUAAUACCUCGGGAGGAUGACGGUACCUGAAGAAUAAGCACCGGCUAACUACGUGCCAGCAGCCGCGGUAAUACGUAGGGUGCAAGCGUUAAUCGGAAUACUGGGCGUAAAGCGUGCGCAGGCGGUUUUGUAAGACAGAGGUGAAAUCCCCGGGCUCAACCUGGGAACUGCCUUUGUGACUGCAAGGCUUGAGUGCGGCAGAGGGGGAUGGAAUUCCGCGUGUAGCAGUGAAAUGCGUAGAUAUGCGGGGGGAACACCGAUGGCGAAGGCAAUCCCCCUGGGCCUGCACUGACGCUCAUGCACGAAAGCGUGGGGAGCAAAC
rnacentral:rRNA from 1 species